CAACUGCCCCCUAACACAGAUCAGGAACCAGCAAUAUGGAGCAUGAGCCAAUGGAUCUUCCUUUCUUUUGGGAGACAGCGCUAUGCAUCAAGGAGGUCCAGUGAGCCAGUCCCUUUGGACUUGAUCUGCCCCAAUGGAGGUGAUGGUAUUAAUAUCCUGAGGACAUUUUAAGGGUGAAAAGUCUGGGCUGGGGGCCUGAGGGAGGAAAUGUGGUGUAGUGAUACAGUUAA